rnacentral:lncRNA from 1 species
ACCCCAGCACAGAGCAGGGGCCUCCGGGCCUAGAUCAAGGGAAAGAACAAAAAAGGGAAUGGAAACAAUGAUGAGGACUGGGGUUAUUGUAGGAGAGAGCAAGUAAAAGAGGUUGUUUGGGGACAGUGAAGAAAAUGCCCGAUAGGAAAGAAAGAGUGCUCUAAAGAAAGACAAUGGAGAAAGGAGAAAUAGAGUGAAACCACUAGAAAGCAAUGGUAAAACAGAGCAGAAGUAUCUCUGAUCGCAGACGAGCAGUUCUGCGCAGAGGUGCUGCAGCUCUGCCCAUCUCCAACACACGCUGUUUACGACACGCAGCUAAAAAUCUUUUCCUCUGUGUAUGUGAUUGAGUUGAAACUUUGCUGCUGACCUGAUGCCACAAGGGAAACUUUUUUUUUUUUCUCCCUGACUGUGAAGUGAGGGGGCUGUAGAAAACACGCCGUAACCAGGACAAUGAGCGCACCUGAGUCACCUGAAGGAAGGUAGGAGACCUGCACCAAACACACAAACGGGAAACGAAAAAACAAGCAAGCGGGAGGAGUGUUACGUGGCACUUGGCACGCAAUUAUUUUCAGAUUGCCUCAAUCCCUGAUUGCUGAUGCUUCACCUGCAGCUUGUCCAGAUACGACAGUGAGAACAAGUUAAAAGAGACCAGUGUUUCAGCAACAGAACUCUCAGCCUGUUGUCUGAUGGGAAAAUCAAUUCCAAAUGUUGAAAUUUCAAUACAGUCUACAAUUUUGUUACAUUCAGAUUUAUUCUGCUUGUUUUCUUUCCUUUUUGUCCUUCCUCUCCUCUCUGUUCUUCAGAAAUUGGCUCUGACGCUUCCCCCUGACUCUCCAAAGACCUUUUCCAGCUGAAUUUCAUGCAGCAGGAAAUGAGCCUCUGCCCUGCCUAUCCCAGGGAGCAAACCUGCUCUUGCAAAAUCCCAAAUCUUCCAGAUGAAAACACAGGACUUCUGGCACAGAUCCGCUUCCCAACCCGGUAUCGUUGCUGCGUGUGCCUGCCGUGGCUUUCUCGCUCUGAGAGCGCCUUGCGUCUCAGGAAUGGCCCCGCGACACCUGGGAGGGCAGAGAGACAUGGAGACCUCCAACCCCAUCCACGACUGCCGCAAAGUGGCGAGGGGGACGAUCACCCUUGUGUGUAAAACCUGACAUGGCCGCUGUCCUUACACAGUUCUUAAGGCUCUCCGUUACUUCCAAGACGUAGCUAAAGCAACACAGGCUUGUUUCGUUCUGUUCUGCAACUUCUGACCCAUCUAACCAGGGCCUUCUUUCUAGGCAAUUUGGUCAAAACUACUCAUGCCAAAUAUUUCUUCUGUACGGCUUUGCCAUCUGGAACAACCCACCUAUAUGCCUUCGGCCUUGUUGACCAGCCAUAUAGUUUCCAGUUUCAGCUGAAGAGAUUUUUCCUUUACUGUCAUCCCAUAGCAAUUUGAAUGUAGGAUGUAGGCAGCAAACGUUUGGUCAUUUAUUUUCUGCGGUGUGGGAAUAUACUUGAAGCAAUUUCAGUGCUGAAGGAGCCCUGGAGCUUGUGGAAUGUGGGCAGUUUUUAGAUCUUUCAUCCUAAGUCUCACCAGCAACUGGCUAUGAUUUUGUAAGCUUUUCCAUGAGACAUCAUAUUUGCCAGUUACCAGUGAAUACCUUGCAAUAACACACAGUAUAUUUAGAACAGAAAAUUAGGGAGGAAAAAAAUGAUUUAAUGAAAGGAGGGAGGGAAAGGAAAAGGAUUUUUCUGAGUGCUAAAACACUACGUUAUUACCUACAAAGGAAUUCUUUUAAUAAUUGGAGAAGGGAGGCCCAAUAGCCUUCAGUGCAAAGAAUGCUCAGCAUUCACCUCCAAAGACCUUCUUUACUCUGGAUAUCGGACAUAGUAUGUUCAUGAUGGGGAAUCAGGCCUCUGUAUAUCACACAACACCACUAGUCAUAACUUCGAAGGUUUAGCUGGCAGUGAAUAAAUAUUCAGCCUGUGAAUUCA